UGGGUCUACUCGCCGGAAGCCUUGUAGAGCUCCUUGAGGGUGCCAUGAGGCUGCUCCAGCUGGUGUACAGUCAGGUCCACAGUGCCACCCCCACAGUCUGCCACCAUGUAGCGGUCUCCUGCACCGGUCGAUACAGUUUCAUGGAGAUGAAAUGGUGCCAAUUUACAUCCCUCUCUACAAAUGUUCCCCCCAGGAUCCUCUCUAUCCAAGGAGCCCUGAGAGACCUUUGGUGAAAUUCAACUCAGCAACUCAAAAAGCAGUCUUUAAAAUCAAACAUCCUCAUGGCUGGAGAGAUGGCCCAGUGGUUAAGAGCACUCUUCCAGAGGAGCUGGGUUCAAUUCCCAGCACCCACACAUCAGUUCAUAACCAACUGAAACUUCCGUUCCAAGGGAUUCGAUGCCCUUCUGGCCUCCGGAGGUACCAGGCAUGAAAGUGGUGCACAGACAUACAUGCAGGCAAAACACCCAUAAAUAAAGUAAAAUAAAAUAAAAUAAAAUAAAAAUAAAAGUCAAAUUCU